rnacentral:rRNA from 1 species
GACGAACGCUGGCGGCGUGCUUAACACAUGCAAGUCGAACGAUGAAGCGGGUGCUUGCACUCGUGGAUUAGUGGCGAACGGGCGAGUAACACGUGAGUAACCUGUCCUUUUCUUUGGGGUAACGGCUGGAAACGGCUGCUAAUACUGGAUAUUCAGGCUGCAUCGCAUGGUGUGGUUUGGAAAGGUUUUUUCUGGGAUUGGGUGGGCUCGCGGCCUAUCAGCUUGUUGGUGGGGUGAUGGCUUACCAAGGCUUUGACGGGUAGCCGGCCUGAGAGGGUGGUGGGGCGGAGAGGGGGUGAAGACCCGUCCGGGAUGCAGCGGGGGGGAAUAGUGGGGAAUAGUGGCAAAUGGGCGAAAGUUUGACGGAGCGGCGGCAGGUGGAGGUGGGAUGGCUUAGGUGUUUGGAUCCCUUUUUCCCGCGGAAAAGGCAUAGGUUUGGGUUUGGUGGGUGUCGAGGGAGAAAGAACCCGCGCAAACUGCG